rnacentral:rRNA from 1 species
AGAGUUUGAUCCUGGCUCAGGACGAACGCUUGCGACGUGCCUAAGAAAUGCAAGUCGAGCGGGCGAGGGACUUCGGUCCUUAGCUAGCGGCGAACGGUCGCGUAACACGUAGGCAACCUGCCCGAAAGACCGGGACAACAGUUCGAAAGGACUGCUAAUACCGGAUGUGGUCCUCUUCUCGCAUGGGAGGGGGAGUAAAGCGAGCAAUCGGCUUUCGGAGGGGCCUGCGGCCUAUCAGCUAGAUGGUGGGGUAAUGGCCUACCAUGGCGACGACGGGUAGCUGGUCUGAGAGGAUGGUCAGCCGGACUGGGACUGAGAUACGGCCCAGACUCCUACGGGGGGCAGCAAUUAGGAAUCUUGCACAAUGGGCGAAAGCCUGAUGCAGCGACGUCGCGUGGAGGAUGACGGCCUUCGGGUUGUAAACUCCUUUUAACGAGGAAGAAACAAAUGACGGUACUCGUUGAAUAAGCCCCGGCUAACUCCGUGCCAGCAGCCGCGGUAAUACGGAGGGGGCGAGCGUUGUCCGAAUUUACUGGGCGUAAAGCGCGCGUAGGCGGGUUGUUAAGUCCGCUGUGAAAGCCCGAGGCUCAACCUCGGAGGGUCGGUGGAUACUGGCAGCCUUGAAGGGGCUAGGGGGAAGUGGAAUUACUGGUGUAGCGGUGAAAUGCGUAGAUAUCAGUAGGAACACCCGUGGCGAAGGCGGCUUCCUGGAGCCAUCUUGACGCUGAGGCGCGAAAGCUGGGGGAGCGAACGGGAUUAGAUACCCCGGUAGUCCCAGCCCUAAACGAUGGAUACUAGGU